AUGAGGACGAAGUGACUGACACCACGCUUCCAGGAAAAGCCACUAAGCUUCAGCUGUAGAAAAACCGUACCGUAAACCGACACUGGUAGGCAGGGUGAGAAUCCCAAGGCGCUUGAGAGAACUCGGGUGAAGGAACUAGGCAAAAUGGCACCGUAACUUCGGGAGAAGGUGCGCCCUUUGGUGUGGUCACGUGCGUGACUGAGCAUCGAAGGGUCGCAGUAACCUGGCCGCUGCGACUGUUUAUCAAAAACACAGCACUCUGCAAACACGAAAGUGGACGUAUAGGGUGUGACGCCUGCCCGGUGCUGGAAGGUUAAUUGAUGGGGUCAGCCGCAAGGCGAAGCUCUUGAUCGAAGCCCCAGUAAACGGCGGCCGUAACGAUAACGGUCCUAAGGUAGCGAAAUUCCUUGUCGGGUAAGUUCCGACCUGCACGAAUGGCGUAACGACAGCGGCGCUGUCUCCACCCGAGACUCAGUGAAAUUGAAAUCGCUGUGAAGAUGCAGCGUUCCCGCGGCAAGACGGAAAGACCCCGUGAACCUUUACUAUAGCCUUACAUUGAACGUUGAGUUCUUCUGUGUAGGAUAGGUGUAGGCUAUGAAACCGAGACGCUAGUUUCGGUGGAGCCAUCCUUGAAAUACCACCCUGAAGUGCUUGACGUUCUAACCUAGGUCCGUAAUCCGGAUCGGGGACCAUGUAUGGCGGGUAGUUUGACUGGGGCGGUCUCCUCCCAAAGAGUAACGGAGGAGCACGAAGGUACGCUCAGCGCGGUCGGACAUCGCGCACUGUGUGCAAAGGCAUAAGCGUGCUUGACUGCGAGAUCGACGGAUCAAGCAGGUACGAAAGUAGGUCUUAGUGAUCCGGUGGUUCUGUAUGGAAGGGCCAUCGCUCAACGGAUAAAAGGUACUCCGGGGAUAACAGGCUGAUACCGCCCAAGAGUUCAUAUCGGCGGCGGUGUUUGGCACCUCGAUGUCGGCUCAUCACAUCCUGGGGCUGUAGCCGGUCCCAAGGGUAUGGCUGUUCGCCAUUUAAAGUGGUACGCGAGCUGGGUUCAGAACGUCGUGAGACAGUUCGGUCCCUAUCUGUCGUGGGCGUUGGAGAUUUGAGGGGGGCUGCUCCUAGUACGAGAGGACCGGAGUGGACGUUCCGCUGGUGUUCGGGUUGUCAUGCCCAUGGCAUUGCCCGGUAGCUACGAACGGAAGUGAUAACCGCUGAUAGCAUCUAAGCGGGAAGCACGCCCCAAGAUGAGAUCUCCCGAGAGCUAGACUCUCCUUAAGGCACCAUCAAGACUAGGUGGUUGAUAGGCACGGUGUGGAAGUGCAGCAAUGCAUUGAGCUUACGUGUACUAAUGAGCCGUGAGGCUUGACC
rnacentral:rRNA from 1 species